rnacentral:rRNA from 2 species
AAGAGUUUGAUCAUGGCUCAGAUUGAACGCUGGCGGCAGGCCUAACACAUGCAAGUCGAACGGUAACAGGAAGCAGCUUGCUGCUUUGCUGACGAGUGGCGGACGGGUGAGUAAUGUCUGGGAAACUGCCUGAUGGAGGGGGAUAACUACUGGAAACGGUGGCUAAUACCGCAUAACGUCGCAAGACCAAAGAGGGGGACCUUCGGGCCUCUUGCCAUCAGAUGUGCCCAGAUGGGAUUAGCUUGUUGGUGAGGUAACGGCUCACCAAGGCGACGAUCCCUAGCUGGUCUGAGAGGAUGACCAGCCACACUGGAACUGAGACACGGUCCAGACUCCUACGGGAGGCAGCAGUGGGGAAUAUUGCACAAUGGGCGCAAGCCUGAUGCAGCCAUGCCGCGUGUAUGAAGAAGGCCUUCGGGUUGUAAAGUACUUUCAGCGGGGAGGAAGGUGUUGUGGUUAAUAACCGCAGCAAUUGACGUUACCCGCAGAAGAAGCACCGGCUAACUCCGUGCCAGCAGCCGCGGUAAUACGGAGGGUGCAAGCGUUAAUCGGAAUUACUGGGCGUAAAGCGCACGCAGGCGGUCUGUCAAGUCGGAUGUGAAAUCCCCGGGCUCAACCUGGGAACUGCAUUCGAAACUGGCAGGCUUGAGUCUUGUAGAGGGGGGUAGAAUUCCAGGUGUAGCGGUGAAAUGCGUAGAGAUCUGGAGGAAUACCGGUGGCGAAGGCGGCCCCCUGGACAAAGACUGACGCUCAGGUGCGAAAGCGUGGGGAGCAAACAGGAUUAGAUACCCUGGUAGUCCACGCCGUAAACGAUGUCUACUUGGAGGUUGUGCCCUUGAGGCGUGGCUUCCGGAGCUAACGCGUUAAGUAGACCGCCUGGGGAGUACGGCCGCAAGGUUAAAACUCAAAUGAAUUGACGGGGGCCCGCACAAGCGGUGGAGCAUGUGGUUUAAUUCGAUGCAACGCGAAGAACCUUACCUGGUCUUGACAUCCACAGAAGAAUCCAGAGAUGGAUUUGUGCCUUCGGGAACUGUGAGACAGGUGCUGCAUGGCUGUCGUCAGCUCGUGUUGUGAAAUGUUGGGUUAAGUCCCGCAACGAGCGCAACCCUUAUCCUUUGUUGCCAGCGGUUAGGCCGGGAACUCAAAGGAGACUGCCAGUGAUAAACUGGAGGAAGGUGGGGAUGACGUCAAGUCAUCAUGGCCCUUACGACCAGGGCUACACACGUGCUACAAUGGCGCAUACAAAGAGAAGCGACCUCGCGAGAGCAAGCGGACCUCAUAAAGUGCGUCGUAGUCCGGAUUGGAGUCUGCAACUCGACUCCAUGAAGUCGGAAUCGCUAGUAAUCGUGGAUCAGAAUGCCACGGUGAAUACGUUCCCGGGCCUUGUACACACCGCCCGUCACACCAUGGGAGUGGGUUGCAAAAGAAGUAGGUAGCUUAACCUUCGGGAGGGCGCUUACCACUUUGUGAUUCAUGACUGGGGUGAAGUCGUAACAAGGUAACCGUAGGGGAACCUGCGGUUGGA